UUUCUUCUAAAGACUAAAUCUUCUAAAUGAACGAGUAAUCCCUUCAGACAGCGUGUAUUUUAGACACUUGUUUAAUUGUAUUCUUUUUUAAAGACAAAACUUCACACAGAGCUGUAUUUUCAAAGAGGCUUCUACCUAUAAAGUGCCAGCGAGGUAUUUAAUAUCGUGGAUGAUAAAUUGUUUCUUCAGUGAAACAUCCAGAUUAAGUAUCUUGUUUAAAUUAGUUUCAUCUGCUAAAUUACUGUUGUAUUUGUUGUUUAAAGCUGCUCGAUUGUUAGUCUGUCCUGUUUUAGGAUUUGUUUUGGUAGAGAGGUGUGUCCUGUGUUCCGACACCUGAAUCUUCACUGAUUGGACGAGCGCUCAUCACCUGGUUUCUAUUGAGUGUCAUUUGAAUACCAAAAGCCAAGGGGCGGUGUCAACUUGGGCUCAUAACCGGAUCGGGUCUUUAGCGUCAGCGUGACUCUUCGGACAAAGACUCGGAGGACAAAGACAUAGGAGUCUUCCGUUGGAGUCUUCGGGGGUGGCUGAGUAUUUCACCAUUUUGUGAAUGUGUGUAUUUUCCAUACCUGUGCGUAUCUCUACUCGUAGUUACUAUAGGACUCGUUCAUUCAUGUACCAGAACCCCUCCUCUGUUAUCCUUCCUACCCGUUCUACUCACACCCAGCACCUUGUCACGGGAGGCCUCUGGAACUGUCAGUCAGCCAACCGCAAGGCCGACUUCAUCUCUGGCUUUGUUAUGGAGCAGUCGCUUGACUUCCUGGCUCUCACUGAGACCUGGAUCACAGCAGACAACACGUCUACCCCGGCUGCUCUCUCCUCUGCCUACUCCUUCAGCCACACACCCAGACCCUCUGGUCGGGGUGGAGCUCCAGGUUUACUCAUCUCACCCAAAUGGUGUUUCGCUCCCUACCCGCUUCCACUCUUUAGCCCACUGACUUGUGAGUUCCAUGCUGUGACGGUUACUCAUCCGGUUCAACUACACAUUGUUGUUCUCUACCGUCCCCCUGGUUCUUUGGGAGAUUUCUUGGAAGAGCUAGACGUCCUCCUAUCGAACUUCUCGGAACACGGCCCCCCGCUCAUCCUUCUGGGUGACUUCAACAUCCAGACAGAGAAGUCAUGUGAUCUCUUACUGUCUUCCUUUAACCUCUCACUCAGUCCCUCCCCUCCCACUCACAAAGCCGGCAACCGCCUUGACUACAUUUUCACUAGAAACUGCUCUACCUCCAACCUCACUGUGACUCCUCUCCAUGUCUCUGACCACUUCUUCAUCUCUUACUCUCUCUGGUACUGACGACCCACACAUAUCUACAGACUCUGCACCUGUACGCCACAACAUUCGCACCCUCUGUCCCCAGGGGCGUGUCUAGGGGGUGGCCAGGGGUGGCACGUGCUACCCCUGGAAUCUGAUUGGCCACCCCAGGUGCCACCCCAUAUGCUAAACUAUGAUUGGCUAUCUGCCCACGGAGGCGGGAACGUUUGAAUUGUGUGACUACCGAACUUUCAUUUUCAACCGACAAGAAGACAUCAAGAGAUUGCGGCUACUCGCUCCUGAAAGAUGUGAGUAGCUAGAAUUAUUGAUAACAGUUACACAUAAUGAGUCAGUGGUUUAAAAAGUUUGAACUGUAAUAAGCUAAAACGUUUUUUGAUUUUCACGAUAUGUGGUGCAGGUCUGUCAUCAUCGCGACUGUCGACAGUGUCGACUGACUCAGCUUGCUGCCUAGCAAACCUGUCCAGGGAUUCUUAGCUCCUGAAAGAUUAUGAAAAGAAAUGAGAACAUUCAGGGAUUCUUCAAAAGAAAGAAAUCCAAAACAACAGAGCAGGACAGAGCAGCAGAAGCCAGCAGUGCUAGUCAGUCUGAGGAUGAGAGCCAGCUUGACUCUGCUAGGGAUGUACAGCAGGAGCCUCCAGCUUCAGCUGUACACAUGGACUCAGACAAGGAUACUGGUGAUGAAGGCCCUUCAUCUUCACUUGCACAUCAGGGUAUGUAAUGUAUGCAUCUUUAUAAAACUAUCUGCUAUGACUUGAGAUGUUUCACUUUUGCUAUACUUAUAGUGGCUUAUACUGAGAUUCAGGGCAAAGCCCUAUUUUUAACAAUACAGGUGUGAAAAAGCUAAAUAUGACUAAUUUGACAUACAAAUAAAUUGAUACAACUGUUAAAAUCCCUAUAUUACUUCAGGUGUGUCAAGUCAGCCACUCUCUGACAAUGAC